rnacentral:rRNA from 1 species
AUUGAACGCUGGCGGCAUGCUUUACACAUGCAAGUCGAACGGUAACAGGCCGCAAGGUGCUGACGAGUGGCGAACGGGUGAGUAAUGCAUCGGAACGUGCCCAGUCGUGGGAGAUAACGCAGCGAAAGCUGCGCUAAUACCGCAUACGAUCUAUGGAUGAAAGCGGGGGACCGAAAGGCCUCGCGCGAUUGGAGCGGCCGAUGUCAGAUUAGGUAGUUGGUGGGGUAAAGGCUCACCAAGCCGACGAUCUGUAGCUGGUCUGAGAGGACGACCAGCCACACUGGGACUGAGACACGGCCCAGACUCCUACGGGAGGCAGCAGUGGGGAAUUUUGGACAAUGGGCGCAAGCCUGAUCCAGCAAUGCCGCGUGCAGGAAGAAGGCCUUCGGGUUGUAAACUGCUUUUGUACGGAACGAAAAGGCUCUGGUUAAUACCCGGGGCUAAUGACGGUACCGUAAGAAUAAGCACCGGCUAACUACGUGCCAGCCGCCGCGGUAAUAC